UACGGAGGGGGCUAGCGUUGUUCGGAAUUACUGGGCGUAAAGCGCACGUAGGCGGCUUUGUAAGUUAGAGGUGAAAGCCCAGGGCUUAACCCUGGAAUUGCCUUUAAGACUGCAUCGCUAGAAUCGUGGAAAGGUGAGUGGAAUUCCGAGUGUAGAGGUGAAAUUCGUAGAUAUUCGGAAGAACACCAGUGGCGAAGGCGACUCACUGGACACGUAUUGACGCUGAGGUGCGAAAGCGUGGGGAGCAAACAGG
rnacentral:rRNA from 1 species